UACAGGGGGUGCAAACGUUGCUCGGAAUUAUUGGGCGUAAAGCGCGCGUAGGCGGCCACUUAAGUCGGAUGUGAAAGCCCCUGGCUCAACUGGGGAAGUGCACCCGAAACUGAAUGGCUUGAGUGCGAAAGAGGGUCGCGGAAUUCCCGGUGUAGAGGUGAAAUUCGUAGAUAUCGGGAGGAACACCCGGUGGCGAAGGCGGUUCUCUGGGACGGUACUGGACGCUGAGACGCGAAAGCGUGGGGAGCGAACAGG
rnacentral:rRNA from 1 species